rnacentral:rRNA from 1 species
AUGGCGAGCAUGUCGCCACCGCCUGCUUAUUCCUCCGGGGCCAGGGACGACACGGAAGUGUUGUCCCGGAGGGCCGCUCCAAACCGGGGAGGAGCCCAGGACGCUGUUCGGGAGGCGCCACAAUGCAAGACCUCCAUUGCCAGACACAUGGGGGAUCCGAUCCCCAUGGAGAUUGGCGAAGAGGGCCGCAUCCAGUUCGGCCCUCAGCCGAAUAUGAUUUCGGAGACCCAUAUAGCUCCGGAGUCGGGCGAGCAGCCCCCUUUGAAGGAGGGGGGUGCGCCGCUUCCAUCGGUGGCCCCUAUCCAUCCAGGGACGCGAGAUAACCUGAUGGAGGCGCUACGAGGCGCCUCCGUUAUGGACGAGCACCGUGUCCUUAUGGGUGCGGUGAUCGAGAAGGUUCAGUCCGCCAAGAGUGGACUGAACGAAGCCUGCAGCAACCUGUUGAAAGGUUUCGAGGCGUUGUUGUUGGCCGCAACCUCGCAUGCUGCCAAAGUCUCUGAACUGAGGCAGAGGCUGGAGCGGACCGAGAGCGAGCUCGGCGAGGUUAAGGUUCGGCUCCAGGAGAAGCAAGGAGCCGCGACCGAGGUCAAGGCCCUGAGGAAGUCCCUGGGCGAGGCCGAGGAGAAGGUUGUCCAGGAGCAAGCCGAUCGUAAGAAGCUCAAGGCCCGGGUCAAAGAAGUCCAGCAGGAGCUCCAGGAUGCGGUGAAGAAAUGCAAGGCCUUGGAGCAUGAUGUGUCGGUUCAAGGGACCGAACUCGCCAAGGCUCGUCAGAGCGCGGAGGCCGCACAGAAUGAGGCCCAGGCCGCCCUCCAGGAGAUCCAGGAGGCCAAGAAGAUCGCGGCGGGGGCUUUUGCGGAUUCACCACGCAGCGUAUCGGACGCUGUGGAGUUCUACCGAGACGAAGGAGGGGGUUCUACGGAGAAGCUAUUCUGGUUGCAAUAUGCGGUGCCAGAGCCUCCCAUGUCCUUCACAGAUCAGCUGAAACAGCUGGUGGAGCUGCAUAGGGUGGCCGAACUAGCCAUGAAGGAUUUGAUAAUCCGGCUAUGGCCUGCCGAAGCUAUCCCUGGCAGCUACUUCGGACUCGUGAGGCGAAUGGUGAACGCCUGUCCUCGGCUGGACGUCGUCAAGCGCUCUGCCUGUAUUGAAGGUGCCCGCAUGGCCUUUGCCCGUUGCAAGAUGUGGUGGGCGAAGAUGAACGCCGUUGAAGUGGCCAGAGGGCCGCCAGAGGGCAAGGAGCAUCGCACACCCGAGCGAUAUUUUGCGGAUGUCAUAGAAGGGUCUCGGCUUGCAGCAGCUGAGUGCGGGCAGGACAUUAUUUUCGAAUGA